GGUGGCCGUAGCUCAGUUGGUUAGAGCGCCGGGUUGUGGUCCCGGAGGUCGGGGGUUCGAGUCCCCUCGGUCACCCCCA
rnacentral:tRNA from 1 species